UCAGCUGACUCCCCGGUGAGCUCUGAAGUUGGGAAGGCCCUGCAGAGUUAUACAGAGACAAAAGACGAGGCAACAGGAUGAGGGCUGUCCUGGGAGGGGGCACAAGUUUGGGCAAAGCGGCUCUUUUCAGCCAGGAAUGCAAAUAUGAAGCUGGCAGUGGUCUAGCCAUCUGGAGCUCAUGUGGCAACCAAGGGGAAGAAAGCUUUACUCCAGGGAUGCGGAAAGAGAGCUGGACGCAGCAGCUGGGUAUUUAUGUGAGUAAGACAAGACCAUAAUUAGUCAAGCCACUCCUGUGGCUGGGUUUCUGUUGUUUGCAGGUGAGGGGACUCAGCUGGAAUACACUGGAAUGGUCACCCCUGUUGUUAUGGCUGGUGUCUGUGCUGGCUGCUCAGUGCAUUGUUCUGGCACAACUGGUUAUCUAGAAACACACGGGCUGGAGCUGUGAGUCAUAGGUUACGGGUUUUGGACUUGGGGAGCUGAUGAAGAGUCUUAGAAAAUAGGGAAGGAGUUCUAAAGGGUGGGUGUGGAGGAGGCUAGGCAGCAAGAAACAAGCGUGGGACGAGGGAAAGAUGAAGUCAAAUCACUGUCGUUCAAUAGUGGUCAUUUCCUACCAACCUCCAGUGUCACCACACAUUGAGGUCUUUCAUGGACCCCACACAGGACUAGGGAGGUGGCAUGGGAGAGCUUAGGCCUCAAAGAUCGGCAGAACUAAGUCUGAAUCUUGGAUCCCUCACUGAUAAGCUAUGUGAUCUUGGGCAAGUCACUUAGCUUGUCUGAGUUUUGUCUGGAAAAGAGGUAAUAAGACUUACAAAUAGAGAUGCGCCAAGAAAAACAUUUCAAAUAAAUUGAUGAGAAAAUGGAGGAAAACAAGCAGACAGCAGUGAGUCAGGCCACAGAGCAUGUGCUCCACCGUUCAGUACACUUGCUGGAAGCCCUCCAACAAACCGGCUCCCAGUCGAGCAGCCAAUGAAAAGGGCAAAACACAUCUAUUUUCAGACUCUCAGGACUCACAAAAUCAGGCAAGGUAGUUCCCUGGAAGACACACGGCCAUUCUUGGCACGGGAUUCAAGGAGAGAAAUGUCUUCCAUGGAUCUUCUUUAAGAAAACAUAGACAUAGUGAAGGCUGUUCUGAAGUAUUUUACACAAGACCAUCUUGAAAAAGUGGUUAAAUAAGUUUGGAAAGCCCCGUCUAUCAGGUCUCCUUGGGGAGUCCCACACUGAUCAAUGUUUUAAAGCCUCCGUGAAUCUCACAGCAAACAAACUAGCUUCCAGAGCUUCUGGAGCACAGAAGGGUAUCUUCCACGUCCUCUUCCUCUCGUUCCUGUUUUUCUGUAGCUGCUGUUAUCUAGAGUGUCAUGGAGCACUCGAAGGCAACUACUGGGCAGUGUUUUCCCCAACAGGAAGGGAAAGAAAGGUGUGGUGAGCCGAGGUUAUUCCUUGGAACUCCUGCAGAAGUCCUGGGCCCACUUCUGGAGUGCAGCCAGAAGGGAAUGGUAGUCUGAAGCCUUGACCUUAGCAGCUCAGGCCAGUUUCUUUGCGUGGGUUGGUUUUGUAGGUUCUAUAGAGCUAAGAGGCCCUCUCUCAAAGUCGCCUCCACUCACUCAUUGUCUUCCUGGGCUUGUGCCGUGUCUCUUCAAUCUUUGGAGCAUGAAGAUGCGGUGGAAGUCACAUGGAGAGAAGUCUGACAGGCAUCAAAACAGGCUUGGAGACUCCUGGGAGGUUCAGUGACCAGUCUCGUCCAAGGAACUGAAGACCUAAAGCAAUGUUGCCUGAAGGUUUUAAAUUAUCUGCAUGACUCAUCUUUCCUUCUGCUUUUUGAAAGUCUGCAUCUCCUUGUCCCCUUCUAACCCCCAAGCCCACUCACUCCUGGGAUGUGUCACAGGUGCUUUGUCAGUUUCCCUGAGAGACACCCCACCUUGCUUUGUCACAUCAACCUCCUCUCUGGGGCAGAGAGACACCUUGCUUGCCCCUUCUUGGCUGUGUCCACACAUGGCCUCAAUGUCGCUCUCGUGUUGCUGGACUUUCUGCAGAAGACCUACACAACUUCCCGGAGGAAGGGGAUGCUUCACAGAUCGUGGAGGCUAUACACACAACCAGGACCAAGAUACAGCUCAGAAACUGGUGGGCUCUUAUCCUUUCAUUGCUGUUCACCUCACCCGGGGUCACUGGAUAAUGUCCAAGUUGUCGUAACUAACACAUGUAGAUCAACAAAUAAUGGGAGAGAGUGGGUAAGUGGCUGGGCUGCCGAAUCGCACCUGAAGGAGUAGAUGUCAUUCAGAGCAUCCUACACAGGGUCCAACCGGCUGUGCUGACCCAGGUUCCUGAUUCUGUCCACACAGCACAGUCCAGUGGGUGGGGCCUGAUGGUAAAAGUACAGACGCUACCUAAAUCUGCAUUCAAAAUCCAGAUGAUCUGUCCUUUGGGGCCAUGCUGCGGAUCAGGAGUAUAAAGAAGGCUGAGGCCACCCAGAGCAAGGGGAGAGGAUCCUCUGCAGCUCGGCAGGAUUUCAAGCCCCACAAAGAUGAACUAGAGUUCACAGUGGGUACUAGCAAGCCAGAGUCAGAAAUCACUGCUCCAGAGACCAAAAGGGUGCCAGAGUUUCUCUUUCCUCUACAACGAAGAUGACCUGAUAUGAGGUAUAAGACUAGAAUUCGAAGACAUCCUAUCUUAGGCGGGGUAGGGUGUUGAAACAAGGUGCAUAUGCUUUCUCCUUUACGCUGUUAUUUUUUAAAGUGUGCUGAAAGCAGAGUUACAAUCUGAUUGUUAAUCUAGCACAGUUUGCUUUGCUGGAAACACUCAUUUUGAGGGGAAACCUGCUAUCUGCGGUACCUUAUCUCAUCAAGGUGUGACUUUCGACACAUGUUUCUAUUGGGUUGUUUUCGUCUUUUUCUUGCAAAUUUGAAAGAACUCUCUCUGUUAUAGAUAUCAAUACUGUAUUGACUAUCCUUGUUGCAAGUAUUUUUUUCAAACAAUUAUUUUUAUAUUGGCUUUUCUAGGGUCUGUUUUAUUCUACAAAAAUUUGAAAAAUUUAUGUAAUCAAAUGUGUUUAUCUUUUAUAGCUUCUGGAUUCUUUUGUCACUAUCGCUAGUAUAAGGAAAAGCUACUGAUUUUUUUGUGUUAGGAGUUUUUUCUCUUGGGUUUUCUAGAUAUACAAACAUGUAAAGUUUUGCUGAUUAUUUCUCUUUUUGUACUCACUGUGCUUGUUAGACCCUCUAAGAUAAUAUUAAAUUAUAAUGGUGGUGGCAGUCCGCUAUAUAUGGUUCCUGAACCUAACCGGUUUAGUUUUAAUAUUUUACCAUUUGGGGUGGUAUUUUUAGAGGAUUUUGGUAGCAAAUUUGAUCACAAAUAGUUCCACAAUUUCCUCUAUUUUGGAAAUAAUUGCUGCUGUUUUAUCAAAUAAUUGUUCAGUAUUUAUUAACGCAAUCAUUUGGGUUUUGUUCUUUAAUUUGUUAAUCUAAUGCAUUAAGAGAAUAGAGUUCUAAUAUGGACCACCUUUUUGUGUUUAGAUAACAUCACUUGACCAUAAUCUAUUACUCUUUUGGUAGACUGCUGGAUCUCAUUCACAACUGCUUGAUUUUACUUACGAAUUUGUAAGAUUGCUACAUAGUUGCAUUCUAUCUUUAACAUAGAGUGGCUUCACAAAAUUAAACGGGACAUUUUCCAUCUUUUUCUAUGAGCUACAAUAAUUUAAAUAUCAUAGAAAUGAUCUAUCCCUUAAAGGUUAGGUAGAACUUAGUGUGAAAACAUCCACUUCUGGUAUCUUUUUUAAAGUAGAUAUUAGUUUACCUUUCUAAUUUUUCCACAGUAAUACACUUGCAACAACAUGUAUGAAUUAUUUUUGUAAUCUGAAAGCCAUCAAAAGAGGAAAAGAAAAUCAUAAGGCAGAAAGUAAAACUAGUCAAUGGUUAUUAUUAACAUUUUAAAAUAUAUGCUUCUGGUCUUUUCUCUAUGAAAGCUUUUCAGAUACUUACCGAUAGUAGUUGGUUGUCCCUCUUGUGGCAUUAGUAGCCACUGGUGAUCAUUGCCUGGAUGUAUUAAUUCAUUAGGGGUUACAAAGUGGUGACAUCAUCAUUCUAUCGUUUCUUCUUUAUUUAUUACCUGGACUACUUCUAUAAAGAGAAACUUCUCUAUUUGAUUGCAAUAAAAAUUUUAAGGACUA